rnacentral:rRNA from 1 species
AAACUUAAAGGAAUUGACGGGGACCCGCACAAGCAGCGGAGCGUGUGGUUUAAUUCGAUGCUACACGAAGAACCUUACCAGGGUUUGACAUGCAAGUGGUAGGAAACUGAAAAGGGACCGACCCUUCGGGGAGCUUGCACAGGUGCUGCAUGGCUGUCGUCAGCUCGUGUCGUGAGAUGUUCGGUUAAGUCCGCUAACGAGCGCAACCCUCACUGUGUGUUAUAUGUGUCACACGGGACUGCCGGUUUUAAGCCGGAGGAAGGUGGGAUGACGUCAAGUCAGCAUGGCCUUUAUAUCCUGGGCUACACACACGCUACAAUGGUCGGUACAAUAGGUUGCCAAGCCGCGAGGCGGAGCCAAUCCAAAAAAGCCGGCCUCAGUUCAGAUUGUAGGCUGCAACUCGCCUGCAUGAAGAUGGAGUUGCUAGUAACCGCAGGUCAGCAAUACUGCGGUGAAUACGUUCCCGGGCCUU